UUGCUUCAGCUGCACAUAUGAUUAACACUGGAACAAUACAGAGAAGAGGAGCAUGGCCCCCAGGCAAGGAGGACACACAGACUCGUGAAGUGUUCCACACUUUC